rfam:TPA: Bos taurus chromosome 5, whole genome shotgun sequence.
UCCCUGGUGGUCCAGUGGCUAAGACUCUGUGCUCCCAAUGCAGGAGGCCCAGGUUCUCUGCCUGGUCAGGGAA